GGGGCAACCCUUCAGCGGCGGACGGGUGAGUAACGCGUAGGUAUCUAUCUCCGGGUGGGGGACAACGGCUGGAAACGGCUGCUAAUACCGCAUGAUGCCCGAGGGCCAAAGGCGCGAGUCGCCUGGAGAGGAGCCUGCGUACGAUUAGCUUGUUGGCGGGGUAAAGGCCCACCAAGGCGACGAUCGUUAGCUGGUCUGAGAGGAUGAUCAGCCACACUGGGACUGAGACACGGCCCAGACUCCUACGGGAGGCAGCAGUGGGGAAUAUUGGACAAUGGGCGCAAGCCUGAUCCAGCAAUGCCGCGUGAGUGAAGAAGGUCUUCGGAUUGUAAAGCUCUUUCGGCGGGGACGAUGAUGACGGUACCCGCAGAAGAAGCCCCGGCUAACUUCGUGCCAGCAGCCGCGGUAAUACGAAGGGGGCUAGCGUUGCUCGGAAUGACUGGGCGUAAAGGGCGCGUAGGCGGUUCGUACAGUCAGACGUGAAAUUCCCGGGCUCAACCUGGGGGCUGCGUUUGAUACGUGCGGGCUUGAGUUCGGAAGAGGGUCGUGGAAUUCCCAGUGUAGAGGUGAAAUUCGUAGAUAUUGGGAAGAACACCGGUGGCGAAGGCGGCGACCUGGUCCGAUACUGACGCUGAGGCGCGAAAGCGUGGGGAGCAAACAGGAUUAGAUACCCUGGUAGUCCACGCCGUAAACGAUGUGUGCUGGAUGUUGGGCAGUCUGACUGCUCAGUGUCGUAGCUAACGCGAUAAGCACACCGCCUGGGGAGUACGGCCGCAAGGUUGAAACUC
rnacentral:rRNA from 1 species